GUUUGGUCCUGACUUUAGUGUCAGCUUUGGUUAAAUUUAUACAUGCAAGUAUCCGCACCCCUGUGAGAAUGCCCUACAUCUUUUCCCACACGAAAAAAAGGAGCAGGUAUUAGGCACGCCUCUAUGUGCAGCCCAAAACGCCUUGCUUAGCCACACCCUCAAGGGAAUUCAGCAGUAAUAGACAUUAAGCUAUGAGUGAAAACUUGACUUAGUUAAAACCAAGAGGGCCGGUAAAACUCGUGCCAGCCACCGCGGUUAUACGAGAGGCCCAAGUUGACAAACCCCGGCGUAAAAUGUGGUUAUUAUAGUAUUGCACUAAAGCCAAACAUCUUCAAAGCUGUUAUACGCUUCUGAGGACAGGAAGCCCUACCGCGAAAGUGGCUUUAAGUUAUAUGUACCACGAAAGCUAGGAAACAAACUGGGAUUAGAUACCCCACUAUGCCUAGCCAUAAACACAGGUGAAUACAUCACACCUAUCACUUGCCCGGAAACUACGAGCCCCAGCUUAAAACCCAAAGGACUUGGCGGUGCUUUAGACCCACCUAGAGGAGCCUGUUCUAGAACCGAUAAUCCCCGUUAAACCUCACCCUCUCUUGUUUUUCCCGCCUAUAUACCGCCGUCGUCAGCUCACCCUAUGAAGGGUGCAAAGUGAGCAGAAUUGGCACCACCCAAAACGCCAGGUCGAGGUGUAGCGUAUGAGAGGGGAAGAAAUGGGCUACAUUCACUGAACCAGUGAACCACGGAGGACGGAUUGAAACAACCAUCUGAAGGAGGAUUUAGCAGUAAGGCGGACAAAUAGAAUGUUCCCCUGAAACUGGCCCUGAAGCGCGCACACACCGCCCGUCACUCUCCCCAAGCGACAGAAAGAUAGUAAAUAAACACAGCAUACCACAAAGGGGAGGCAAGUCGUAACAUGGUAAGUGUACCGGAAGGUGCACUUGGAAAAAUC
rnacentral:ncRNA from 1 species